rnacentral:lncRNA from 1 species
AUAUAUAUAUAUAUAUAUAUAUAUAUAUAGAUAGAGAGAGAGAGAGAGAAAGAGAGAGUGAGGCUACUAUGCUAUCGGAAGUACGGAGCAUUCCGUGCUUCCAGCUCGUUUUCGAUGUUGCGACUUUCGAAUCGUCGAUCGGCNNNNNNNNNNNNNNNNNNNNNNNNNAAUUAUUUUUUAAAUUAAAAUAUCAAAUUUUAAAUUUUGUACAAUUUUGAAAUUUAAAAAUUUUAAUUUUAAUUCAAAUUUAAAUUUAGAUUUUAAAUUAUUUUAAAAUUAAAUUUAAUAAAAAUAUUAAUUUAUACAGACAUCAAAAAAAUUUUGCCAAACAGUUUUUUAAAAUCACUUCAGAAAAAUCACUUUUAUCUAAACUCAGCUAAACGCUCUACAGCUUUUAACCAAAAUCAUUUCUCCUAACUAAAAUCACUUUUUUAGAAAUCAUUUUUUCAGAAGCCAGGCCAAACGGCCCUAACUCCUAAUGGAGGUGGCGAGCAUAACCGAGUUAUCUUCCAAUCUCUUUCACACACACACACACACUUAAAACAUGAUCUCCGUGCUUUCAUAAGCAUACCAGCACAACUCUUAAAUUAAAGGCUCCUAACUUCAAUUAAUA